CCUACGGGUGGCAGCAGUGGGGAAUAUUGGACAAUGGGCGAAAGCCUGAUCCAGCCAUGCCGCGUGUGUGAAGAAGGCCUUCGGGUUGUAAAGCACUUUCAGUGGGGAAGAAAGCCUUGGGGCUAAUACCCUCGAGGAAGGACAUCACCCACAGAAGAAGCACCGGCUAACUCCGUGCCAGCAGCCGCGGUAAUACGGAGGGUGCGAGCGUUAAUCGGAAUUACUGGGCGUAAAGCGCGCGUAGGCGGUCUGAUAAGCCGGUUGUGAAAGCCCCGGGCUCAACCUGGGAACGGCAUCCGGAACUGUCAGGCUAGAGUGCAGGAGAGGAGGUAGAAUUCCCGGUGUAGCGGUGAAAUGCGUAGAGAUCGGGAGGAAUACCAGUGGCGAAGGCGGCCUUCUGGACUGACACUGACGCUGAGGUGCGAAAGCGUGGGUAGCAAACAGGAUUAGAUACCCCAGUAGUC
rnacentral:rRNA from 1 species